rnacentral:piRNA from 1 species
UUUCAAAAGGACAAAACCAAAAAAAAAAA